rnacentral:rRNA from 1 species
UACAGAGGUCUCGAGCGUUAGGCGGAAUCACUGGGCUUAAAGCGUGUGUAGGCGGAUUGCUAAGUACCUUGUGAAAUCCCACGGCUUAACCGUGGAACUGCUUGGUAUACUGGCUGUCUUGAGCCACUUAGGGGCAAGCGGAACAAACGGUGGAGCGGUGAAAUGCGUAGAUAUCGUUUGGAACGCCAAUGGUGAAAACAGGUUGCUGGGAGUGUGCUGACGCUGAGACACGAAAGCCAGGGGAGCAAACGGG